rnacentral:rRNA from 1 species
UACGGAGGAUCCAAGCGUUAUCCGGAAUCAUUGGGUUUAAAGGGUCCGUAGGCGGUUUAAUAAGUCAGUGGUGAAAGCCCAUCGCUCAACGGUGGAACGGCCAUUGAUACUGUUAGACUUGAAUUAUUAGGAAGUAACUAGAAUAUGUAGUGUAGCGGUGAAAUGCUUAGAGAUUACAUGGAAUACCAAUUGCGAAGGCAGGUUACUACCUAAGUAGUGAUUGACGCUGAUGGAACGAAAGCGUGGGUAGCGAACAGG